rnacentral:rRNA from 1 species
UGACGAGUUUGAUCCUGGCUCAGAUUGAACGCUGGCGGCAUGCCUUACACAUGCAAGUCGAACGGUAACGGGUUAAGCCGACGAGUGGCGAACGGGUGAGUAAUAUAUCGGAACGUGCCCAGUCGUGGGGGAUAACGUAGAGAAAUUUACGCUAAUACCGCAUACGAUCUAAGGAUGAAAGCGGGGGACCUUCGGGCCUCGCGCGAUUGGAGCGGCUGAUAUCAGAUUAGCUUGUUGGUGAGGUAAAAGCUCACCAAGGCGACGAUCUGUAGCUGGUCUGAGAGGAUGAUCAGCCACACUGGGGACUGAGACACGGCCCAGACUCCUACGGGGAGCAGCAGUGGGGAAUUUUGGACAAUGGGGGCAACCUGAUCCAGCCCAUGCCCGCGUGAGUGAA